rnacentral:rRNA from 1 species
CGAUGGAUAGGGGUUCUGAGAGGAAGGUCCCCCACAUUGGAACUGAGACACGGUCCAAACUCCUACGGGAGGCAGCAGUGAGGAAUAUUGGUCAAUGGACGAGAGUCUGAACCAGCCAAGUAGCGUGAAGGAUGACUGCCCUAUGGGUUGUAAACUUCUUUUAUAUGGGAAUAAAGUGGUCCACGUGUGGAUUUUUGUAUGUACCAUAUGAAUAAGAAUGGGCUAAAUUCCGUGCCAAGCAGCCGCGGUAAUACGGGGGUUCGAAGCGUUAUCCGGAUUUAUUGGGGUUAAAGGGAGCGGAAGUGGACAGUUAAGUCAGGUGUGAAAAUUUGCGGCUCAACCGUAAAAUUGCAGUUGAUACUGGCUGUCUUGAGUACAGUAGAGGUGGGCGGAAUUCGUGGUGUAGCGGUGAAAUGCUUAGAUAUCACGAAGAACUCCGAUUGCGAAGGCAGCUCACUGGACUGCAACUGACACUGAUGCUCGAAAGUGUGGGUAUCAAACAGGAUUAGAUACCCUGGUAGUCCACACAGUAAACGAUGAAUACUCGCUGUUUGCGAUAUACAGUAAGCGGCCAAGCGAAAGCAUUAAGUAUUCCACCUGGGGAGUACGCCGGCAACGGUGAAACUCAAAGGAAUUGACGGGGGCCCGCACAAGCGGAGGAACAUGUGGUUUAAUUCGAUGAUACGCGAGGAACCUUACCCGGGCUUAAAUUGCAUUUGAAUAAUCAAGAAAUUGGUUAGUCGUAAGACAAAUGUGAAGGUGCUGCAUGGUUGUCGUCAGCUCGUGCCGUGAGGUGUCGGCUUAAGUGCCAUAACGAGCGCAACCCUUAUCUUCAGUUACUAACAGGUCAUGCUGAGGACUCUGGAGAGACUGCCGUCGUAAGAUGUGAGGAAGGUGGGGAUGACGUCAAAUCAGCACGGCCCUUACGUCCGGGGCUACACACGUGUUACAAUGGGGGGUACAGAAGGCCGCUACCUGGUGACAGGAUGCUAAUCCCAAAAGCCUCUCUCAGUUCGGAUCGAAGUCUGCAACCCGACUUCGUGAAGCUGGAUUCGCUAGUAAUCGCGCAUCAGCCAUGGCGCGGUGAAUACGUUCCCGGGCCUUGUACACACCGCCCGUCAAGCCAUGAAAGCCGGGGGUACCUGAAGUACGUAACCGCAAGGAGCGUCCUAGGGUAAAACUGGUAAUUGGGGCUA